rnacentral:pre_miRNA from 1 species
AGCUUUUUGAAUCCAUGCUAAGAUUUCGUCAGACGCAAAUCCAAUAGGACUGAUCAGACUUCCAAGACGAGUGAAGUU